rnacentral:lncRNA from 1 species
AUCAUUAGAAUUGAAAGUAGAAAUUGAAAUAAGAGACCUACCACAAGAUUUCAUGGAAUCUAAGUCCAGGAUUGAAGUUUGAUUAGGUAAAAUGUAUUCGAUGGUCGAGUCUGCUUUUUUCCUACAAGCAUAUCGCAACAACUCUGGCUUAUUCAAUUUUAUAUUAUCCUAAGUUGCAUUACUUGUUCCUCCAUCACCUUCACUCAAGUGCUGCUCAUUCUGCUCCAAAGACACUGUGUUUUUACCUUGGCUUAUUUGACCCUCAUCCUCCCCCUAUCUGAUAAGAUAGAUAGGAGACACAUGUGCUGGUAAAUCUGGUAACACAUAAUUUGGAAUCACCCCUUUCUUUCCAUUCUCCCCUCGCAGAGGUGACAUAUAAUAUGGUUUCAUUUCUCAGAAAGUGACAUCCAUACUGACAAAGACUUUUCUAGUGGGAAGAUGAUAACACUUAUAGCCCUUUUUAGUAGUAGAAUACCCAAUAAACACACAUUUAAGUGCCCGAG